GGUAACAGGGAUUGCUUGCAAUCCGCUGACGACCGGCGCACGGGUGCGUAACGCGUAUGCAACCUACCUUCUACAGGGGGAUAGUCAAUAGAAAUGUUGAAUAGUACCCCAUACGAUCAUUUAUCUGCAUAGAUUAAUGAAGAAAGCUCCGGCGGUAGAAGAUGGGCAUGCGUCCUAUUAGUUAGUUGGUAAGGUAACGGCUUACCAAGACAUCGAUAGGUAGGGGUCCUGAGAGGGAGAUCCCCCACACUGGUACUGAGACACGGACCAGACUCCUACGGGAGGCAGCAGUGAGGAAUAUUGGACAAUGGAGGCAACUCUGAUCCAGCCAUGCCGCGUGCAGGAAGACGGCCCUAUGGGUUGUAAACUGCUUUUAUACAGGAAGAAUUGUACCUACGUGUAGGUAUUUGACGGUACUGUACGAAUAAGGAUCGGCUAACUCCGUGCCAGCAGCCGCGGUAAUACGGAGGAUCCAAGCGUUAUCCGGAAUCAUUGGGUUUAAAGGGUCCGUAGGCGGUCUUUUAAGUCAGAGGUGAAAUCCUGCAGCUCAACUGUAGCAUUGCCUUUGAUACUGAGAGACUUGAGUUAUUGUGAAGUAGUUAGAAUGUGUAGUGUAGCGGUGAAAUGCAUAGAUAUUACACAGAAUACCGAUUGCGAAGGCAGAUUACUAACAAUAUACUGACGCUGAGGGACGAAAGCGUGGGUAGCGAACAGGAUUAGAUACCCUGGUAGUCCACGCCGUAAACGAUGGAUACUAGCUGUUCGACCAACAUUGGUUGGUUGAGUGGCUAAGCGAAAGUGAUAA
rnacentral:rRNA from 1 species